rnacentral:lncRNA from 1 species
GAAAGUAACAAAUGCAUUCUGAAUUUGUGUGAAACUGUUAAAUGCAUAUUGGUUUGAGGAAACGUGACUUGUAGCUCCGGAGUCAAUUACCCAAACUGUUGGUGAACCAAUCACUUGAUUUGAGGAAAUAGAGAAACAUGUACCAGUCAUAUGAUCAACACCAGAUUCAUGUUGUAUUUUGAUCUUUGCAGAAGUGAGAUGAGUGUUCAGCAUACUCAUCAAGCAUUGAUAUUGAGUAGGAUUCAAAGUUCGUAUGAAGUUUCUAACCCAACUUUGUCGUUGAUCUGUCUAGCUAUUUACUCCUCCAACUCUUUGCUUAGGUUUAUAUCCAGGAAGAAACCUUUGCAGUCUGUAACAUUUGUCAAUGGUAUGGCCUGUGUACCCACAGUACGUAUACACAGGUCUUUUUCUCUUUUGAGAUCUGUUGAUUGAUUGCCCUGCAUUCGCCCAUUUAGGCUCAUUCUUGACAUAGAGAGCCAUUGAGUUAUUACUGCCAGAAGCAUCAACAUUCACCUUCCUUUGGCAAGAGUAUGGAUUCAAGCCAUCAUCAGGUCUAGAAUUGCUGGCUGAUGAUGAAAAAGUAUGAACAGAUUGAUUUGGAAUUUCUGAGGCCAUUGAUCAAUCAGAAGUGGCAAGAAGGAAGCAUAAAGUAAUGCUCUGAUACCAAAUUGAAGAAAUGAAGAAUCUGGAAAAAAAUGGAAAGUAUUCU